rnacentral:rRNA from 1 species
UACGAAGGGGGCUAGCGUUGCUCGGAAUCACUGGGCGUAAAGCGCACGUAGGCGGAUCGUUAAGUCAGGGGUGAAAUCCUGGAGCUCAACUCCAGAACUGCCUUUGAUACUGGCGACCUUGAGUUCGGGAGAGGUGAGUGGAACUGCGAGUGUAGAGGUGAAAUUCGUAGAUAUCGCAAGAACACCAGUGGCGAAGGCGGCUCACUGGCCCGAUACUGACGCUGAGGCACGAAAGCGUGGGGAGCAAACAGG